rnacentral:sRNA from 1 species
GCUGGGCAUGGUGGUGCACACCUGUAAUCCCAGCAACUCAGGAAGCUGAGGCAGGAGGCUUGUGAGUUCAAAGCCUGCCUCAGAAACUCAGGAGACCCUGUCUCCA